rnacentral:rRNA from 1 species
UACGGAGGGGGCUAGCGUUGUUCGGAAUUACUGGGCGUAAAGCGCGCGUAGGCGGACCUACAAGUCGGGGGUGAAAGCCCGAGGCUCAACCUCGGAACUGCCUUCGAUACUGCGGGUCUCGAGUCCGGGAGAGGUGAGUGGAAUUCCGAGUGUAGAGGUGAAAUUCGUAGAUAUUCGGAAGAACACCAGUGGCGAAGGCGGCUCACUGGACUGGUAUUGACGCUGAGGUGCGAAAGCGUGGGGAGCAAACAGG